rnacentral:lncRNA from 10 species
GGAUUACAGGCAUGAGCCGCCACACCUGGCCUAGCUAUUUUUGAUACUGCUUUAGAAAGUCCAAUGUAUUUAAAAAAAAGUUUCAUAUUUUAAAUGCCUACAUGAAACAUCAAAAUCUAUCUAUAAUUUAAAAGCAGUAUUUUCAGUGAGCUGUGAUCAAACCACUGCACUCCAGCAUGGGUGACAGAGUGAGACCUGGUCUCAGACAAAACAAAACAAAAUAAGUAAGAUAUGUUAUGUCCAAUUCAAGUGCAUCAAACAGAUAAUAUAAACUUUUCUGACUGAAGCAAGGAACAGAGACUGGGAGCUAUACUAGUUUAAUGUCACUUUACCUGUCCUGAGGAACUAUCAAAGUCUUCUGACAACAAUGUUUGGAAACUCCUGAUUUAGAUUAAAUGUUUAGGCAUAUUUUUAUUGUUACUAUUGUGACUGUCUUCUUUUUUACAGAUACUUAGAUUUAGGCGGAAAGUUCUUGAGCCGUUUUCUUGCAAUACAGAAAAUCAAAGAGCAAAAAAUAUCUGAAGUCAUCUCCCUAACUUGUCUAAUACUUCUAGCAUUAAAAUACUAUUUUAAAAUUAAAAUCUUAGGCUGAGUUCAGUGGCUUAAUGCCUGUAAUCCUAGCACUUUGGGAGGCCGAGGUGGGCAGAUCACUUGAGUCCAGGGGUUCAAGACCAGCCUGGCAACAUGAUGAAACCCUGUCUCUACAAAAAAUAGCAAGAAAAAUAAAUUAGCUCGGCUUGGUGGCAUGUGCACGUAGUCCCAGCUAUUCAGGAGGCUGGGUGGGAGGAUUGCUUGAGCCUGGGAGGUAAAGGCUGCAGUUAGCCAUGAUUGUGCCACUGCACUCCAGCCUGAGUGACAGAGGGAGACCCCGUCUCAAAAAACAAAACAAAACAAAAUAAAAAAACCUUAAAUGGAAUACUAACAUAUGAAGCAGAUUAAGCCUUUUUGCAUAUUUAUAAAUUACAAUUAUAAUUAUGAUAGGCUUAUAAAUAUAAAACUAGGUACAUAGUCUUAAAAUUGUCUAUCAAACAUUUAUUGAUUAUGAGCUUUGUGUCAAACAUUAUGCUAAGUACUAGAGUUGCAGUGGUGAACAAAUUAGCCCCUGCCUAUGGUGAACAAAUUAGCCCCUGCCUAUAUAGAACUAUCCUCCUUUCUUGUUUUGUCAUAGAAGAGUUAUCUCUCCUAUCUUAGGCCAAUACCUGUGCUUUUAUCUUAAUGCUUCCCAUUUCAGAAGCCUGAAAACUAUUAAUUACCCCUUUCCUUUCUUGUGUAAGAUUCAACAUUUUCCUUUUAACUAGAUUCUUCCCCUCUGGUUUUGAAUGUGCUCAGGUCUCUCAUGUGGUCUGGGCACACUUUCUUCUAUCAGUUGUCCUAUCAUUACCAAUUCUCCAUCCACUUCACAGCCAGAUUUCUCAAAAGAGUUGUCACCUCCCAAUCAGUCCGUAAUUGAUUCUAUCUCCCAGCCCCAUUACUAAACUGAAACAGUACCAGUACAGGCUAAGUUCAACAGUGACCUUUGUAUUGCCAACACCAUCCACUUUUUAUGUGACUCAUCAUACUUGAAGUUCAAUUACUGGUCGUCGUCUUAUUUCACUUUAUAUUCUUUCUACACUAUCCAUUUAAUGAGCAUAUGUUCAGUCGUCAGACAUGUACUAAAGUCUCAAAAUUUAUAUCUCUUGCCCAUAUCUAUCAUCUGAACUUUAGACUUAAUUAUCUCUUAUUGACCCUACCAUUCUAUCUGGAUGUUCAGAAAGACCACAAACUUCAUGUCCAAAACUAAACUUAAUGUUUUCCUCAUACCCAUCUCAUAAAACCAAAAUCAAACAAAAAUAUAGACAAAACAUAGAACAGCCUGUUUUUUCGGAAUCUUCUUCCUCAGUAAAUAGGAAGAAUUUGUGUCUUUGGCACUUCCAUUUUCUUCACAAAUAUUCAGUCUACUGUUAGAGCAUUCCACUUUUAUCUCUUAAAUAUUUCUCAAAUCCAUAUACUAAAUUUUAUCUCCAGUGCUAUCACCUCUGAGUCAGUCUGGUGUGAUACUUCACCUGGGCCACCAGAGUUACCCUCCUGACUGGUCUUGCCUUUCUUUACUCCAAAUAUAUUAAGCCAGUAUGUUCUUUUUUAAAAUUUGGAGUUUACUGCUUUUAAGAGAAAAGCUAUAGCAUUCUUAACAUGGCCUUCAAGGCCUACAUAGUCUGGCUCCUGCCAACUGUCUUUAACUUGAUUUUGUAACCUGAUCUCUGUAUUCUAGUCAUCUUGGCCUUCUCUUAGUUCUCAAAUGCACUUUCCUUCUUUCCACCUCCUUACUCUUUGACAGACUGACGACUCUGACUCUUCUUUCAAUAUCUAUUCAGUUAUAUUCUUUGGAGAAGUCUGACUUACUGGGGCAGUUUGCUGUUGUUUGUUCUCAUAGUACUUCUUUUUUAUUGUACGUUCCAUAUUUAUUAGUGUGAUUCUUUAAUAUUUGUCUACUCUAAGUAUUUUCAUGUUUGUAUGUUUAAUUAUAUGUUCAAUGAGAGCAAGGAGGAUGUUUGUCUUUGCUCAUCAUUUUACUACCAGUGUUCAUAUUAGCUUCUGGCAUGUAUUGGGUGCUCAGUGAGUCUGGUGAAUGAAUGAGUAAAUUAAUUGAAAUUGUAACCCUGUUUCAAGUAACAUUUGUUUCUAAUGUAGUGAGUUAUAUUGCAUGUCUUAGAUAUAUCAAUUUAAAGGUAUGAAAAUUAAGAUAAGUUUUGUAUUUUUAUAUUUUAAAUAUUAAUAUUCAUUGAAACUUAAAAAAAAGUCUUUAGAUAUAUAACGAUUUGUCAUGGAACUUAAAAUAUGGAUCUGUGGUUUCAUAGUUGAUCACUAGAGUGUGCUAUAACAUCAGGGCUCUUAAUUAUAAGUGUGCCCUGUUAUACUGCUUUGGAAGUUUGACUCAAUGGAGUUUAUGACAGUAUGAUAUAUCCAUAGCUUCAGUAUUUUUGGUAUGGGAGUUAAUGUUUUAAAUAGCUUUGGCUAUCACUGCUAGUGAUUCUGAGAAAGAAGACAGAUAGCUUUGAGUUUCAGGGUUUUUUUCCAUCAUAGAAAACAUAAUAAGUAUGCUUUUUUAAAAAGGAAAUAUUAAACAUUACAGACAAACUAAAAUAUUCAUUAAUUUGCAAAUUAUGGGCUACCUGGUACUGGCCUGUGUUGGGUAUAUAUAAAAGUAGAAUGUAUAGGUGCAGCCUUUAAUGUGUCUGAAAUCUAGUUGAUAAAUAUUAAUAUACAUACAUGGAAGUUAAAUGACAGAAUAAGAAUGAAAUUACGAUACAAGGGCCAGGCGCUGUGGCUCAUGCCUGUAAUCCCAGCACUUUGUGGGGCUGAUGUGGGCGGAUCACAUGAGGCCAGGAGUUUGAGACAAGCCUGGCCAACAUGGGGAAACCUUGUCUCUACUAAAAAUACAAAAAUUAGGCCGGGCGUGGUGGCUCAUGCCUGUAAUCUCAGCACUUUGGGAGGCCGAGGCAGGCAAAUCACCUGAGGUCGGGACUUCAAGACCAGCCUGACCAACAUGGAGAAACCCUAUCUCUACUAAAAAUAUAAAAUUAGCCGGGCCAGGGGUGGCACAUGCCUGUAAUCCCAGCUACUUGGGAGGCUAAGGAAGGAAAAUUGCUUGAACCCAGGAGGCGGAGGUUGUGGUGAGCCGAGAUUGUGCCAUUGCACUCCAGCCUGGGCAACAAGAGUGAAACUCCAUCUCAAAAAAUAAAUAAAUAAAUAAAAAGAGAAAUAAAUAAGUAAAUAAAUAAAUAAGCUAGCCAGGCAUAGUGGUGCAUGUCUGUAAUUUAGCUACUAGGGAGGCUGAGGCAGGAGAAUUGCUUGAACCCAGGAGGUGGAAGUUGCAGUGAGCCAGGAUCACGUCACCGCACUCCAGCCUGAGCGACAGAGUGAGACUCUGUCUCCAAAAACAACAACAACAACAACAACAACAAAACAAAAAGAAAUUACGAUACAAUAUGGAAGUAUUAAAGAGAUUACAAUAUGAUGAAGUACCAAAUGAGUGGUUCUGAGAAGAAAAACUGAGCAUGGGCUGGUGUUGUCAGGAAGACUUCAUUGCAGAAGAAGGGCUUGAGCUGGAUGCUCUACCCAUGGUACCCCAGGACCAGAAGGCAACCAUAUUUCAGAUUUACCACUUCUAGACAGUCCCAAUCCCUGGCUAUCUUCUUCAGUGACUGCUCCAUCCAUGGUAGCCCCAGUCACUUUUGCAUCUAUUGUAGAAGAAGAACUACAACAAGAAGCAGCUCUUAUUAGAAGUCGAGAAAAACCGUUGGCUCUGAUUCAGAUUGAGGAGCAUGCCAUACAAGAUUUAUUGGUUUUCUAUGAGGCAUUUGGCAACCCUGAAGAGUUUGUCAUUGUUGAAAGGACACCGCAGGGACCACUGGCAGUACCUAUGUGGAAUAAGCAUGGAUGCUAGUUCACUGUGGAGUUGAGAUGCAUUUUACAUAAUUAUGAGUUUGUUCAUAUAAAGAAAAGCUGUGGAAAAGAGUCUUAGAGAUUUUGUAAUAUCAUUCUAAAUAGAUUAAGAAAAGAUAUAAUUUCUUUACUGCAGUUAAAUCAUAUAAUGUUUGUAUGAUUAAAAAUAAAUUUCUCAGAAUUGUGAUUUUAGUAACUUUAUAUAAAAUGUGUGAGACAAAAACUUAUUAAGGUUAAAUAGAAUUGUUUCUUCUGAAUAAUCUAACAAAGGAAAAUAUAAGUGAUUGAAUCAUAAGAUAUAAGGGGGGUAAAGUAUUAAAAAUAACUUUUUUGUUUGAUAACUUGAGAAUUUAGAAGAUUUUGCCAAGUAUGUGUUGUUGCUUGACUUCUUAAAUAUGGCAUUGAUGAAUUUAAAGUAGGAGCAUCAGUUAUUACUUCUGAUUCAUUAAUGGCCAGAAUUUUGUGUUUGGUGUAAUAGUUGUGUCACCAUUCUUGUUGCUUUUUAAAAAUCAGGCUAAUCAUGUGGUCCAUGUCUCUUCAAAGCUUGACCUGCACAAAUGCCAUAUUUCUAUUUGGACCACAUAUUCUCCAUUUUGCAUUGAGCAGUAGAGUACAGUGGAAAGGGAAUAAGAAUACUGAUUAUUCUGAACAGUUUAGUCCCAAGAGAAUAGCGUUUUAAAAAAGAAAAACAAGAUUUGGAGUCAUUGUGGGUUAUUUUUGGUGGGAUGGAGGAUCUUAAAAAUGCCUAAUUGUGAGAGAAUCAAUUGCUGAAAGUGUUAAAAUUUCUGAAAAUAAAUGCUUAAUUACAUAUACAGGAAUUAAAUAGUUUGGAAGAGGGUUGGAUUAUCAUUACCUUUACAAUACUGUAUAAUCAGAAGUUCUCUGAACCUCAAUUGUAUAUCUAGACAUAAAAAUUGUUUUCUGUAUAGGAUGUUGUUUGGUUUGUUUCUGAGUGUUUAAAUUUUGCAAAAACAAAUGUUAAAUUUGUGCUUCAGUACCUAGAUAAAUUGGAAAGGUUAAUGUUCUAGUUUCUGGAAGGUAAGCCUGGGAGACACAUAAGCAAUUCACUGCUAUAAUUUAGUUGAUGUAAAAUGACGGAAACUGACUCAAUAUGUCAGGUUUAACUCUGCCCAAAAGCAGCAGACAUGUAAGCAGAUGUGCAAUAAAAAAUGAUCUUGAUCCAUUUCACU